GACGAACGCUGGCGGCGUGCUUAACACAUGCAAGUCGAACGAUGAACUUGGAGCUUGCUCUGGGGGAUUAGUGGCGAACGGGUGAGUAACACGUGAGUAACCUGCCCUGGACUCUGGGAUAACUUCGAGAAAUCGGAGCUAAUACCGGAUAGGACCUUGCACCGCAUGGUGUGGGGUGGAAAGUUUUUCGGUUUGGGAUGGACUCGCGGCCUAUCAGCUUGUUGGUGAGGUAAUGGCUCACCAAGGCGUCGACGGGUAGCCGGCCUGGGAGGGUGACCGGCCACACUGGGACUGAGACACGGCCCAGACUCCUACGGGAGGCAGCAGUGGGGAAUAUUGCACAAUGGGCGCAAGCCUGAUGCAGCAACGCCGCGUGCGGGAUGACGGCCUUCGGGUUGUAAACCGCUUUUAGUAGGGAAGAAGCCUUCGGGUGACGGUACCUGCAGAAAAAGGACCGGCUAACUACGUGCCAGCCGCCGCCGUAACAC
rnacentral:rRNA from 1 species